CGAACUCUCCAGCCAGCUUCGCCUACCACAGCAGUUACACACAGGGCUGCAUUAACCAAGAGCCAUGCAACAGCCUGCUCCGAUGGGCACGGGAUAAACAAAUCUAGAGGGACAGAUGCACAAAACCAUGCUGCAGGUGGAGCAGUUGUAGGGGUGCCGUUUUGGAGAAGCCACCUGGAAAGCAGCAGCAAAGAGAACCAGUUCACAAGAGGACCUUGAUGAAUCCCUGCUGGCCAGCAUAUGGGAUGAACAGCAACUGUGCUGGCCACAGUAGAGGAGGGAUGUGCUGACUGGCUGGGGUAGGCAGUAAAGAACUAGGCCCAGCUGAGAACAGGUGGCAGUGAGGUGAGACCACCACAAGCCUUUCUAAAUUGCCACGAACAGGCCACUUUAGUGGCAUGUCAGAAGCAAAGAGUAUUUUGUCUGAUACAUCCAUCCCAUCAUUCUGGUCACCUAUGCACAGGAUUGGUUGGUCUACUGACUCUCAGAAAGCAACACUUGGAAAACAGAAAGAGACCAGAAAACGAAUCCUCUUUUCAUGCAGUUCCUGGAAGAAUAAGGUCCUUGGCCCAUUCAGUGUACCAAAGGAAUGCAUGCCAAAGAAGAGCUGAUGCAAUUUCAUACACAGAAGCUGUUCAGGUAAAAUAUCCUUUAUCUUAUAACCAUUGGAGAUAUAUAAUUACAAGGUCGGGAGAAAGCUAAAUAUCAUGUUCUCCCUCUAGCUAUUUCAUUUCCUCCCCACCCCACGAUGCGUCAAUCCAUCUCCCUGACCGUACUGUUUCCAUUCUCCAUGUAUUUACACUGACAAGAGACUGAAUUAAUGGGGGAUGGCAAAAGGAGGUGAAAUAGUACUUGCUGGUGAAAAGAAGAAACACACCUGGAGGAAUGGGAUGUUGUCCUUUAUUUCAGUGUGAUUGUGCAAUCUCCAGACAUUAUCUACUAUCCACAUGGCACUCAGCUUGAAUCAUUGUCUUCCCACAUUGCAGNGGUCGGGAGAAAGCUAAAUAUCAUGUUCUCCCUCUAGCUAUUUCAUUUCCUCCCCACCCCACGAUGCGUCAAUCCAUCUCCCUGACCGUACUGUUUCCAUUCUCCAUGUAUUUACACUGACAAGAGACUGAAUUAAUGGGGGAUGGCAAAAGGAGGUGAAAUAGUACUUGCUGGUGAAAAGAAGAAACACACCUGGAGGAAUGGGAUGUUGUCCUUUAUUUCAGUGUGAUUGUGCAAUCUCCAGACAAUAUCUACUAUCCACAUGGCACUCAGCUUGAAUCAUAGUCUUCCCACAUUGCAUGGUAUUGUUUGCACAGUAAGAAGCUGAACCAGCAAGGUGUUUAAGCCCGCUAUCCAUCCAGUGGGAGCUGGGGGCCCACUCAACAUUUCAAAGCAUCAAGUUGUAAAUAAUCAGAAAGAGGCCUCUUGUAGCAAAUGCAGAAUGUUAGCUGUAGCUACGUACCUGUCCUUAUGAAAAAGUCCUAUGUAAUUUAAAAAGAAUGAAACUAAUAGGGUUCUAUAGAAAUUAGUCUAAAAACCCAGUCCUACUGACUUCUAUAACAGGUAAAUGCUAGCGGAUGGGGAAAAACUUAACCAACGAUUGAUCUGUGAUGGGAAUGUUUCUAUUAUUGAAUGUGCAUGACUACUGGAAAUUAUUAUUCUAUUUUUCUUUAUUGUUGGUAUAUUUAUAUAUGCAGUCUGAGUCCUCAAUGAAAUAAUAAUGUAAAAAAAGCAAUAGAAAAGUUGCAAUUUUUGUUAAAUUGCCCAGGAUUUUCCACCAGGGUGGGGAUGUUCUGUUUCCUGUAUCUUCAAGGCGUUCCUGUAUCUUCAGGUCAGAAAAAGGCACACAAUGCUGUCUCUGGGGAUGUUAGUCAUAUAGCUUAGCACACUAUGGGAAGGUGCGCAGGCACUCAGGUGCAGUGUAAGAACUAUAUUGAAUAGACUACAGCAAUCAUGUUUAAGACAGACCUGACACAGAAUGUUCAAGGAGACCCACGCUGUCCAUGUUUUUCCAUGGAGAGUUGACUUAUGUUCUUUUCUUUCUUGUGUUUCCCUAAAUGUGCAAUAAAG
rnacentral:lncRNA from 1 species